UACAGAGGUCUCAAGCGUUGUUCGGAUUCAUUGGGCGUAAAGGGUGCGUAGGUGACGCGCUAAGUCAGGUGUGAAAUUUCGGAGCUUAACUCCGAAACUGCAUUUGAUACUGGCGUGCUUGAGGACUGGAGAGGAGACUGGAAUUCAUGGUGUAGCAGUGAAAUGCGUAGAGAUCAUGAGGAAGACCAGUGGCGAAGGCGGGUCUCUGGACAGUUCCUGACGCUGAGGCACGAAGGUCAGGGGAGCAAACGGG
rnacentral:rRNA from 1 species